GUUGAAGUCCCCAAUGGGGUGGGUAGAUAAGCGAGCAAGAAGCUGAGCAGCUGUAGAGGUUCUGAAUUCAAGAUUCCUGUGUGAUUAUGGCAUCUCAGAUUCCUAGACUGCUUUCUUACGAGUUGAUUCCCCUUCAUUCCAUGGCAGUCAUAGAGGGUCACUGCGCUGUUUUGGGAAACAGCAUCAAAACAGAAUUUCUUUGUGUGCUGGGGAUCUCCUGGACGGAUGUCUUCUCGCCAGCUGAAUGUGAAAACCUGGUUGGACAGACAAACCCUCAGAAAACCAGUUGGAGACAAAAACACAAUCUUUAUAUCUAUCCACCUUUCAUAAGCUCAAUGUGAAUAAUAACAUACUACAUUCUAAUUUCAUAGUAAUACCCAUAGUAAAACCCACUUGCGUUUAAGGCACAAAACUGAAUGCCGUGGCGUAGCGCCCAC